ACCCAGAGUACCCUCUGUUGGCCACAAUAUCGCAACCCUUUACCGAACAUUACAUAGCUGAGCAUUGAAGGACUGGAAAACCCAUAAGACAAGAAUAUAUCCAAGAGAUCCAGAGUGGCUGACUGGAGGAUGAGUGGCAUCUGAGGCGCUAAGAGGUGAUUCACUGAAGCCACAGGUACUCUGUAGUGGGGGAGCUCCUGUACCCUGAACCAGAACGUUAAUCAGAAAGAUGAUGCCUAACAUCUGGAUCAUUGGAGGGGAAACAGAGCCACCAUGGCUGGCCUGCACAGCUCCAGCCCCUGCCCCUUCAGGGAGCAGCAGAUAUGAGAAUGGUAAA